rnacentral:rRNA from 1 species
GAGUUUGAUCAUGGCUCAGAUUGAACGCUGGCGGAAUGCUUUACACAUGCAAGUCGAGCGGCAGCGCGGGGCAACCUGGCGGCGAGCGGCGAACGGGUGAGUAAUGCAUCGGAACGUGUCCAUGUCGUGGGGGAUAGCCCGGCGAAAGCCGGAUUAAUACCGCAUACGCCCGAGAGGGGAAAGUGGGGGACCGCAAGGCCUCACGCGAUUGGGUCGGCCGAUGUCCGAUUAGCUAGUUGGCGGGGUAAAGGCCCACCAAGGCGAUGAUCGGUAGCUGGUCUGAGAGGAUGAUCAGCCACACUGGGACUGAGACACGGCCCAGACUCCUACGGGAGGCAGCAGUGGGGAAUUUUGGACAAUGGGGGCAACCCUGAUCCAGCCAUUCCGCGUGAGUGAAGAAGGCC